GUUCUGAUGAUGAUUGCUUUAGUCCUGUUGAGCCAUUUAGCCCAGCACCUGAUCCAGGGAGAAGUGAUGCACUGAGCUCCACUGGUGAUGUACAAAUGCCUUCUCAAUUGACUGCAUCCGAUGAACCCCUUCGGCUAUCUCUCAUGCCUUCUCAGCCAACUGUAACUGAUGAACCGCACACAAUAACUCAAAUGUCUUCUCAGUUGACUGUGACCGAUAAACCUCACCAGU
rnacentral:misc_RNA from 1 species